rnacentral:lncRNA from 1 species
UAUAAUGUAUGGUUCCAUUACAUGAAAUGCCCAGAAUAAACAAAAGCACAGACACAGAAAGUAGAUUAGUGUUUCCAAGGAGAGGGAAAGAGGAAGAGUUUGGGUAUUUAGGGGAAGGGGGUAACAAAAAUAAUCUGGAACUAGAUAAUGCUAAUGGGUAUAUAAAAUGAUGAAUAUAGUAAAAAAAAAAACUGAAUUGUACACAUUCAAAUAUAUAUAAAAAAAUUUAAUUUCAUUUUAUUUUAAGUUC